GACGAACGCUGGCGGCGUGCUUAACACAUGCAAGUCGAACGGAAAGGCCCUGCUUGCAGGGUACUCGAGUGGCGAACGGGUGAGUAACACGUGGGUGAUCUGCCCUGCACUUCGGGAUAAGCUUGGGAAACUGGGUCUAAUACCGGAUAGGAACCAUCUUUAGUGUGGUGGUUGGAAAGUUUUUUCGGUGUAGGAUGAGCUCGCGGCCUAUCAGCUUGUUGGUGGGGUAAUGGCCUACCAAGGCGGCGACGGGUAGCCGGCCUGAGAGGGUGUACGGCCACAUUGGGACUGAGAUACGGCCCAGACUCCUACGGGAGGCAGCAGUGGGGAAUAUUGCACAAUGGGCGCAAGCCUGAUGCAGCGACGCCGCGUGGGGAUGAAGGCCUUCGGGUUGUAAACUCCUUUCGCUAGGGACGAAGCUUUUUGUGACGGUACCUAGAUAAGAAGCACCGGCUAACUACGUG
rnacentral:rRNA from 1 species